CUUCACAAGAAGAGAUCAUCUGAGAAGAUAGAGGUAAUAGUUUGGGCUCUUCAGCCUCUACCAUCAUCUCUUGUAAACAAAAUCUGUGUGUUAGAACUUAGGAGAAGUAGAAAAAGAAAAGAGUAAAUGGCACUCCUGGCGAGCUCAAAAGAGUAAAUAAAGAGUAAACAAUCACGAUUUCACCAACUGAUCGGUUUGAA